rnacentral:rRNA from 1 species
GACGUAGGGCGCGAGCGUUGUCCGGAUUUAUUGGGCGUAAAGAGCUCGUAGGCGGCUUGUCGCGUCGGCUGUGAAAACCCGCGGCUCAACUGUGGGCGGGCAGCUGAUACGGGCAGGCUGGAGUUCGGUAGGGGAGACUGGAAUUCCUGGUGUAGCGGUGAAAUGCGCAGAUAUCAGGAGGAACACCGGUGGCGAAGGCGGCAUCCUGGACCAACACUGACGCUGAUGAGCGAAAGCCAGGGGAGCAAACGGG